UUGCAGGCUGCAACCCGCCCUGCAUGAAGUCGGGAAUUGCUAGUAAUCGCGGAUCAGCAUGCCGCGGUGAAUACGUUCCCGGGCCUUGUACACACCGCCCGUCACACCAUGGGAGCCGGUAAUACCCGAAGUCAGUAGUCCAACCUCGUGAGGACGCUGCCGAAGGUAGGAUUGGCGACUGGGGUGAAGUCGUAACAAGGUACC
rnacentral:rRNA from 1 species